rnacentral:rRNA from 2 species
GCUCAGGACGAACGCUGGCGGCGUGCCUAAUACAUGCAAGUCGAACGAACUCUGGUAUUGAUUGGUGCUUGCAUCAUGAUUUACAUUUGAGUGAGUGGCGAACUGGUGAGUAACACGUGGGAAACCUGCCCAGAAGCGGGGGAUAACACCUGGAAACAGAUGCUAAUACCGCAUAACAACUUGGACCGCAUGGUCCGAGCUUGAAAGAUGGCUUCGGCUAUCACUUUUGGAUGGUCCCGCGGCGUAUUAGCUAGAUGGUGGGGUAACGGCUCACCAUGGCAAUGAUACGUAGCCGACCUGAGAGGGUAAUCGGCCACAUUGGGACUGAGACACGGCCCAAACUCCUACGGGAGGCAGCAGUAGGGAAUCUUCCACAAUGGACGAAAGUCUGAUGGAGCAACGCCGCGUGAGUGAAGAAGGGUUUCGGCUCGUAAAACUCUGUUGUUAAAGAAGAACAUAUCUGAGAGUAACUGUUCAGGUAUUGACGGUAUUUAACCAGAAAGCCACGGCUAACUACGUGCCAGCAGCCGCGGUAAUACGUAGGUGGCAAGCGUUGUCCGGAUUUAUUGGGCGUAAAGCGAGCGCAGGCGGUUUUUUAAGUCUGAUGUGAAAGCCUUCGGCUCAACCGAAGAAGUGCAUCGGAAACUGGGAAACUUGAGUGCAGAAGAGGACAGUGGAACUCCAUGUGUAGCGGUGAAAUGCGUAGAUAUAUGGAAGAACACCAGUGGCGAAGGCGGCUGUCUGGUCUGUAACUGACGCUGAGGCUCGAAAGUAUGGGUAGCAAACAGGAUUAGAUACCCUGGUAGUCCAUACCGUAAACGAUGAAUGCUAAGUGUUGGAGGGUUUCCGCCCUUCAGUGCUGCAGCUAACGCAUUAAGCAUUCCGCCUGGGGAGUACGGCCGCAAGGCUGAAACUCAAAGGAAUUGACGGGGGCCCGCACAAGCGGUGGAGCAUGUGGUUUAAUUCGAAGCUACGCGAAGAACCUUACCAGGUCUUGACAUACUAUGCAAAUCUAAGAGAUUAGACGUUCCCUUCGGGGACAUGGAUACAGGUGGUGCAUGGUUGUCGUCAGCUCGUGUCGUGAGAUGUUGGGUUAAGUCCCGCAACGAGCGCAACCCUUAUUAUCAGUUGCCAGCAUUAAGUUGGGCACUCUGGUGAGACUGCCGGUGACAAACCGGAGGAAGGUGGGGAUGACGUCAAAUCAUCAUGCCCCUUAUGACCUGGGCUACACACGUGCUACAAUGGAUGGUACAACGAGUUGCGAACUCGCGAGAGUAAGCUAAUCUCUUAAAGCCAUUCUCAGUUCGGAUUGUAGGCUGCAACUCGCCUACAUGAAGUCGGAAUCGCUAGUAAUCGCGGAUCAGCAUGCCGCGGUGAAUACGUUCCCGGGCCUUGUACACACCGCCCGUCACACCAUGAGAGUUUGUAACACCCAAAGUCGGUGGGGUAACCUUUUAGGAACCAGCCGCCUAAGGUGGGACAGAUGAUUAGGGUGAAUCGU